AUGUUUCAAAAUAAAGAAUGUGAUGCCAGUGUUGGUUCUAUUGCUAAAGCAUUUGUCCCCACUGGCAUGCUCAACUCAGACAGUGCUGAUGUUGUUUUAUAUUCUCUACGUCAGAAGUACCGAGACACUGACAAGUUGAUAGUUCCCAGAUGGACCAAGAUCCGUGAUGGAAAUAUUGAUUCCAAUGUGCUAAAUUGGUUCACAAGAUCAGGUGCUGAUGGUUUUGACCAAUGGGGUGAUGCAGUUAGAUUCUUAAGGAAUAUGACAGAUAAUAUAAAGAAGCUUUGGAGGGAGUCCAGUGUAGACAGGGCCAAACCGUUCUCACCGGCGCCUAUUGAUGGUUUCUCUUGCGAGUUUCUGCGGGUGCCUCAGCAGGAAAACACGAAUGAUUGUGGAUUCUUUAUGCUACAAAACUGCAAGACCUAUUAUUGCCGGGAGGAUGGUGUAAUUGAAGUGAGUGGCUGGAUCUUGGUGAGCCUGACUACAAGUUCUUUGGUAGCCAGUUCUUGGAGCUCGAGCACGUAG
rnacentral:rRNA from 1 species